UACGUAGGGUGCGAGCGUUGUCCGGAAUUAUUGGGCGUAAAGAGCUCGUAGGCGGUCUGUCGCGUCGGUCGUGAAAACUUGGGGCUUAACCCUGAGUUUGCGGUCGAUACGGGCAUGACUGGAGUUCGGUGGGGGAGACUGGAAUUCCUGGUGUAGCGGUGAAAUGCGCAGAUAUCAGGAGGAACACCGGUGGCGAAGGCGGGUCUCUGGGCCGAUACUGACGCUGAGGAGCGAAAGCGUGGGGAGCGAACAGG
rnacentral:rRNA from 1 species